rnacentral:rRNA from 1 species
GACGAACGCUGGCGGCGUGCUUAACACAUGCAAGUCGAACGGACAGGCCCUGCUUUUGUGGGGUGCUCGAGUGGCGAACGGGUGAGUAACACGUGAGUAAACUGCACUUGACUUUGGGAUAAAUUCAGGAAACUGGGGCUCAUACCGGAUAGGAGCUCCUGAUGCAUGGUGUGGGUUGGAAAGUUCCGGCGGUUGGGGAUGGGCUCGCGGGUUAUCAGCUUGUUGGUGAGGUAGUGGAUUACCAAGGUUUUGAAGGGUAGCCGGCCUGAGAGGGGGACCAGCCACAAGGGGACUGCGGGAGGGCGCAGAAGCCUACGGGAGGCAACAGUGGGGAGUAUGGCACAACGGGCGGAAGCCUGAGACGGCAGCGCCGCGUGCGGGAUGACGGCUUUCGAGUGGUAAACCGCUUUGGCCGUUAACGAAGCGGGAGUGACGGUAAUGGGUAAGGAAGCACCGGCUAACUACGUG